AGUUUCAGGGUAUUGAUUGGGAACGUUGGGAAUCAUCCCUAAGUUGAGGGCAUUGAGUUGAGAACCUUGUGGGUACGGGGAAGAUUUUCUUAAGGGCUUUUCAGGAAUCAGGAGCCCCUAAUAGGAGAGCAGGAAAAGCCC